ensembl:lncRNA
CCGGCAUUAAAAUAAUGUCAUUUAAGAGCCAAUAGUUUUUAGCCAAUAGUUUUUAAGAGCCAAUAGUAGGUGUGAAUGAGUGUGUGAAUGGUGCCCUGUGAUGGACUGGAGUAUGCGGGAUUGACUCCAGAAUCAGCAUGACCCUAGGAUUAGGGUUUUCAGUUAAUUAUCAGAAUAAAGUGUUUCUGAAGAUGUAUGAGUUUGGAAACUAUCCGGGUUUACGAUCUUAAGGGUGCUUCUGAUCCGUUAUGAAAUAUUUUCUAUUAAAUAUGCAUCCAUACAUCUACCGUACCGCUUAUCCUACACAGGGUCACAGGGAGCUCGGGGCACAACGUGGGUCUGCCAACCCAUCUCAGGAGACAUUCACACACCCGUUCACACAUCACGGACAAUUUGGAAAUGCCGAUCAGCCUACAGUGCAUAUCUUUGGACUAGGGGAGGAAACCGGAGUGCCUGGAGGAGGCCCCGAAGCAUGGGGAGGGCACGCACACAGGACGGAGGCGGGACUCGAACCCCCAACCCUGGAGCUGCGAGGCAAACAUCACACCACCGUUAACCCCUCCUCCACCCAUACUAGUCUCAAAAGAGCUGCCCUACAGUUCAAACCCACCCUUUAUGGGAGAGUCUGCAGGAGGAAAGCUGUGCUUGCUUUGUUCAGGAAGUGAAAAAAAAGAAAAGAAAAGAAAAAUAC